AUCGUGCAGAGCAAGCAUCACACCAUGGCGUAUGAGUGUUCCUCUGUGUAGACUCAACCUGCGCCUCGCCGUCCCCCAUUCGCACACCCGAUGCCCGGGGGUCGCUACGGACUUGAAAUCGCCGCACCGCACCCUCCACCUCAGGAUUCCACGGGAGAUGAGUGAAUAAAUGACUGAACAUUGUGCAUAAACAGCCAAUUUAUAUAUUCAUAAGAUUAAGACAUUUUGUAUUCCUCAUCCGUUAUGCAAAACAAAGACUAGACACUGUGGAGUCAUCUCUCGUGAGAACAAACGGACAGACAGCUGGGAAGCACACCAGCCACCAGCUGGGAGUCUCCAAAUCCAGGAGAGGGUUCAAAUCAUAGAAAAGCUGCAGAGCCACCGGGUCUCAGAGUUUCCCGCGGGAACGCUGGGACUCGCUACCAAUCCCAUGAGCGCACCUGGGGAUUUUAACGUCUGGUGGGAUGGUGGAUUCCGAGUGUGGUUGGACAGGGCUGGAGUGCCCUGAAAGGCAGGCUUGAAUGCUCUCCUGCCG
rnacentral:sRNA from 1 species